CAGUAACUUACUUCUGCUCACUAAAAUUGGAGCCAUAUAGAGAUUAGCCUAUCCCCUGUGCUAGGAUGACAAGCAAAUUCAUCAAGUGUUUAAUAUUUUU
rnacentral:snRNA from 1 species